rnacentral:antisense_RNA from 1 species
UGGGCAAGUUAGUUGCUCCAAAAACAAGAUAAAGUGAUUGAGUUAUUUUCUCAAGCGGGAGUCGGAGUUUAUCUGCUCUGAGGGUCAUCCAACUAAAAAAUAUAUAUAUCUUGAGGAUUUGCAUUGAUAUUCAAUAUCGACAUAUCCAAGGCCUCCUCCCAGACCACUAGAUUCUAGUAAUUUGAACCGGCUUUUCCUCUCCCUCAAAGCAGCUCUGCUUAGUACAGUGCUUGGCACAAAGCAAAUAUUCAAUAAAUGUUAGCCAACGUUAGCUGCUCAUCUGCUUUCCUUAAAAGCCAAGUCAUUUCAACAAACCACCCCUGAGGCCCCAAGACACAGAAGAACAGCAUCCAGUCCAAGCCCUCUGGUGCAGAGCCCCAGCAGCUACUAUUAAUAAGUGUCUGGAAUAUGUUCCUGGCAUUUCACCUACCCUCUCUCCAAUCCUUCCAAGAAACUCACAAAGCAGGGCUUUUUCUUGAACUUCUCUUCCUCACAACAGUUAAAUCAUCCAUUUAAAGAUGUCAGACAACCUCCGUGUUCUAAGAACUAUUUACUAAGCUCUAUGGAGACACAGCUACGAGCACCACAUGCUGGACCCCUGAAUAUGGAGGGCCAACUACACUAGAAACACACACACUAGCUGAGAAAGAUGGUG